UUGAAAGUCGACAUGAAGAACACAGAUGAAUGGCAAAUGUUAACGAACAAUCGAUGGGUCGAAAGGGAGCACGAAGGUUCGUCGCUCGACUCGCAAUCGGUGGUGUCCUCCGGGGUUCGAGUAGACCGAAGAAGGAGAAGGAUCGAAGCAGCGAGGCGGCUGUGACCUCGGACGAGAAGGAAGAGACGAAGCAGCGGGGCUGCUCGUCUUCUGUCUUGGAAGUAGUUGUGAAGGGGAAAGAGGACCGAAAGGGUCUGGGAGGCGUCGCGAGCAGCAGCAGCGACGAUGACUGGGUGUUUGGUGGGUUUGCUCGACGGGAGGGGAAGAGGAGAGUGCGAGGGUUCGGUCCUCGGUCUCGGUGGUGCUGCGAUGAGGCUAGUUGAGACCAGUGGCUUCGAGUUUUCAGUCGUAUGGGUGGUGGAGGGGAGUUCGACCGUGGCUGUUUGUUGAUUCGGGAAAGGCAGCAGCUAUCAACACAGGGGAAGAGGGAAGGAUUGGGGUGUUGCAUCCGUUUGGUAUCAGGUUCUUUUCCUUUUUGUUUUUGUUUUUCUUUGAAUGUUUGAUAGAAAUCAAAGAAAGGAAUUUGUGUUUGGUUUGAUGUUUAUGGGUGUUUGGAUAAAUAGUUUUUAGCUUAUUAGCCUAUUGUUUAUUUGCUUAUUGUGCGGGAAUAAACACUUUUUUAAAAUGUGUUUGGAUUAGUUUAUAUUGGUGGGAAUAAGCAAUAUGCAUUAAACAUUUUAAGUAUUUGGUAAACAAAACAGCUUAUAUGAGUAAAAUGACCAAGAAACAAUAAGCAA